GGACGAACAGCACUUGGGAGAUGUAUAGUCCUCUUAUGAGGCUAAUUAUGUUUGAGACAGAAGUAUAAUAGAUAUUUCAGAACGUUAUACAAACAUAAGACCAACUACGUUGGCUAAAGUUCUAGAUAGAAUACUGAUUGUGACAAUUUUCUAUCUACUUGUCUUGACCAAAUUACGUGCCAGCAGUCGCGGUAAUACGUAAAAGACUAGUGUUAUCCAUCUUUAAUAGGUUUAAAGGGUACCUAGACGGCGAUUAUUAACCUUAAAUACGGAUAUAGUUCUUGCUAGAGUUUGAUAAGAGAAGGGGAGUAUUUUCGGAGUAGAGAUGAAAUUCUUUGAUACCCUAAGGACUGGCAAUGGCGAAAGCGACCUUUUAUGUAAAAACUGACGUUGAGGGACGGAGGCUUGGAUAGCGAACAGGAUUAGAUACCCUAGUAGUCUUUGCAGAGAAUGAUGAAUGCCAUAGAUUAGAUAAAUUUAGUUUAUAAAUGAAAGUGUAAGCAUUCCACCUCAAGAGUAAUGUGGCAACGCUGGAACUGAAAUCAUUAGACCGUUUCUGAGAACAGUAGUGAAGUAUGUUGUUUAAUUCGGUAAUCCUCGAAAAACCUUACCACAACUUGUAUAUCAUCAUGCCACUACGAAGUAGAAAAGAACUCAGGUGUAUAUACUACAAGUAUUCGGUUCCAAAAGUAGAAAAGGUAAAAGUCUAAAUGUGUCCUUUACUUCUGUAAAUGGUAUUUCGUGUUUAGACAUUUAUCAGGGGUGAUGUUACAUGUGUUGCACGGUUGUCUUCAGCUAAUGUCGUGAGAUUUUGGUUCGUUCCAUCAAAUUAGCGGAAACCCCGGUUUUAUUUUUAAAUUAUUAACAUAAAGCAGUUUACUGAUACAAUGGGUAUAUUAUAACAGGGAUCC
rnacentral:rRNA from 1 species